GAUUUAACGAAAAGAGGAGGUGGCAAAUAACAAAAAACUACGCGUGGGGUAAGAAGGAGCACCCAAACAAAAAAAUUUAUGAAUGGAAAUAAGGGUUCUGGUGGAGAUUUAUGAGCAUCCAAGUGGAUUUUAAAGAAGGGAUCAUGUUGGCGGCCCUGGGCCAGAAAACCAAGCCGAUCGGCUGAAAAUCGGCGGCUAGCCGCCGCUGACAAAUUUUUCAUUACCACGCCGCCGCCGACUAGAAUCGGCUUAAAAGCUGAGCAGGCUCAAAGAAAGCCGCCGAUUAUCAUCUGCGGCGCUGAAACCAUUUAUGUGUGUAGCAAUGUUUUAUUUACACAUUUGUAUUUUUAUACCCUUCACCUUCGUGAGAGAUACUAGUAUAUAAGUUUGUCAUUCCGUUUGUAAUUUCCACAAUAUAAUUUUUCGACCCUAUAAAGUAUAUGGGGCAUUUCAUGUCAAGUGAACCAACUUUUGAAAUCGAUGUCUUCCGAUCGGGAUGAAAUUUGCACCAAGGUUAGCUCUAUUGGAUAGUAACUCAGACACAAUUUUUCAACAACAUCGGUCGAGAACUCUCUGAGUUAUAUUUUGACAAUUUGGUCAAACAGGGGUUUUUUCU